rnacentral:rRNA from 1 species
UACAGAGGGUGCGAGCGUUGUCCGGAAUCAUUGGGCGUAAAGAGCGUGUAGGCGGCCCGAUAAGUCCGCUGUGAAAGUCCAGGGCUCAACCCUGGAAUGCCGGUGGAUACUGUCGGGCUCGAGUUCGGAAGAGGUGAGUGGAAUUCCAGGUGUAGCGGUGAAAUGCGUAGAUAUCUGGAGGAACACCGGUGGCGAAGGCGGCAUCCUGGACCAACACUGACACUGAGGAGCGAAAGCCAGGGGAGCAAACGGG